CUGCAGUACCGGCUUCGGCCGGUAUUGCAGCAAAAGCCGGAAUCACAGCCCAAAAAGCCGUGGUUCAUAUUUGAACAACAUGACGACCAGCAGGGGCAUCCGGGCUGGUACCCGGGCUAUCUGCGGGACCCGAAGUGGCUUUACCCGAGUCGCGGCAAUCAGGACUCUGGUAUGACCAUGCGACGUCCUCGCCGGUGGUGUCCCCUUACCGAGGGUGACCA
rnacentral:ncRNA from 1 species